CUAUUUGACCCUUAGAAAAAUACUGAAAUAUACUUCUGAUUUUUAAACCGUACUACUUUUGCUGUUGAAAAAAUCACUUCUAAUAACCGCACCACAGAAUAAAAUAAACCAAUAAAUAAGUAGAACACUCCCUGGUUCCCGAAAAAAAAUAUCGAUUUCAAUCAAGUAUACAGCAUGAACAUAAAAAAUGAUAAUCUGAUACAUAAAACAAUUAUUUGUAUUCUUUUGGAAAAAUAUGUAUUUAAUCACUACUACUAAUAAAGUUUUUACCUAUAAGGUAUUUGCGUAACCGGGACUUAAAUUCAAGUGGUGAUGGGUCGACAUGCGGGCCACCUUUGACUCGCAUUGCAUCAAAGAAUUGCUCCAGCUGAUCCUUCGAUAAUCUGCUAGUGAUAAGGUAUUUCAUAUUGUACCUAUCCGCAACGUACUUUAACAAUUCAUCUAGCGAGCUGUUACUAAUAAGAACACCCUUUUGAAAGGGCAAACUCGUCAUGCCAUCUGGUACUGUUACUUGCGACACAGCUUUGGAUAUCUUACUUAAAACCUGUCGUUGAGCCUCUAGACUCAUACCAAAGGGUUGUUUUGUCGGAAAAGUGAAGGUUGUUGUCUGCUUUACAUUAAAAACGUCAAACCAGUCGUUUACCAAUUGAAUGAAGUCUGCCGUUUCAGAUGCCUUGUGUCCAUUUAAGCCCAAUGAUUGGCAGUGCUUUAUUGCACUGGCUGUUGUAUUUGAAAACAGCUCAGUUGGCAGCUUGACUCUCUGUCUGCCUGACGAGGGCAGCCCUGAAUCAACGAAGUGGUUUCUUAUCAACUGCACAAGAUGGGGUACGUCUGCAAACACAUACACUUUUUUAGCAGAGUCGGCUGGGUGCUCAAACCAUGUUUUCUCUAUUUAAAUAAGAAAUUAAAAAUGUAUUCAAGUAAAUAUUUUAUUUUAAGAUUCUUACCAGGCGAGACCUGAAGAUUUGUCCACAAUUGAUGAUUCCUGGGCUUCAUUUCGGUAACGACUCCCACGAC
rnacentral:lncRNA from 1 species